CUGAUUGGUUAAAACUUGUAAGAACAAGAUGGCUGUUUAGAUUAGAUUUAAUUUUAGAAGCUUUUAGUGUACUUGGGACUUAUUGCCUCAUGGGUCUUAAUACCCCGCUUUCCCCUAAUUUAACUUUAAAAAGCAUAUUAAAGUUGCUUCACUACCGGCAAUCCUGAAGUGCCGACUAUUACGCAUAUCUUUGUUGACAAUAGUUAUCUGGUAUUAAACUACUUAUUUUAAAUGUAGAAAUUCAAAACUAAAUAUAAUUAAUGCAUAAACACACCAAAAUGUGUAAUGAUUAGUAUUUCUGAAGUAAUCAAACAAAAUUUGAUAACUUCUUAAAUUGAAAUUGAAUUAACGGCUAUACCAGUCAACGAAGUUUUUAAUUUAUUAAAUAAAAUAUGUUAAAUAGUAAGCCAUUGAGUUCUCUCAGUACUGAAGAGCUUGCGAGGGCUCUUAAGUCACUGAAUUUAAAUGUGGGUCCAAUAACAUCUUCAACUAGAAAAAUUUAUGAAAAUCGAUUAAAAGAACAUUUGCUUAAAACUAUAGAAAGUAAUCCAUCUAACGAAAAGCCCAAUAAUUAUGUUUCUAAAACAUUAGAAGAAGAUAACUUUCAAACUAACAUUAACAGCAAUAAUGAUUUUUUAAAUAAAACAGAUAUACCAGAUACUGAAAUUUCUAAUGGAGAAUCAAAGCCUCAAAACUUUUAUGCAGUGUGGACACCAAUAUCAUCAAAAACUGAGAAUGGUGUCAAAAUACCAAAUAUUUAUACCUCUCAACAAAACGCUUUAGCUUUUAUGAAAGAGAACCGUGGUUCUAGAUUUAAACUUUUCAAGAGCAUUGAAGAGGCAGAACAUUUUUCAUUAUCAAAGUUAGACAAACCUAAUGUCGAAAAAGUUGUAUCAUCAAAUAGGGUUAAUAGUGUGGAUAGCAAAAUAGUAUUUAAAUCGCCAACAUUUCACGAACUUUUGAAAUUUAAAAAAUAUAUUGAAGAAGGAAAUUUUUUAGAAGUACAAAAAUGUUUAUGCAAUCCAAGAUAUUUAAUUACAUCAUUAGAUAUGCCUGUAAUUCUUCAAGAAGGUUGUCGCUAUAAUCCUAUGCAUGUUGCUGUGCAUGCUAAUAAACCUAACAUAUGUAAAUACUUUAUUGAACUUUUGCAUUCACACAAAUUUCUUAAGCUUGUAUUUUCGGAUGAAAGCGAUGAUUUAAAUUUUAGAGAAAAACAAUUAGUGGACAUUUUUCUAAAUACUCCUGAUAAGGCGUGUUGCGAUACACCCUUGCACACUGCAUGUAAGUUUUGUUUUAAAGAAAUAGUAGUAUUUCUAUUGACAUGCAAAGAAACUGAUCUUAAAUCAAUUAAUAAAGAUGGUUUCACUGCUUUCCAGGUCAUUGGUCAUAGAAUAAAUAGUCAAUCACCUCUUAUACGAGAUAUCAGGGAAUUGUUUGAAGAAAAAGCUUACAUUCCUCUGUAUAAAAAUGAUUUUAAUCCUUGCGUUGGGCAACCAAUCGUUACCAUAUUACCUAUAGAUGAGGAUUUUUCAGCUGAAAAAAUAAAAGCUUAUGUUGGACCUGUCGCUCCUGCAAAGGCUAUUCAGGUUUUUACAGUUUGGAAAACGCAAAGAAAAUCACCUGUGGCUUUAUCAGAUAUUGAUAAAGGCUUAGAGCGAAUUGGACGAGAUAUUGCAGACAAAGAAAAUGUUCCAUUUACAGAAUAUUGGACAUUUCUCAAUGGUUUCUAUAAUUUGGCAACUAAAAAAGGUCUUGAAAAGUUAGAAGAAUAUUUAAAUUUCAAGUCUGAAAAUUCAAUAAAUCAGUCUGAAAUGAGCUCGUAUGAACUUAAAACUUCAGAAAAAUUUCUGGAAAAAAAUGAAACAAACUUAAAAGACAAUAUCAAACGAAAGCUUACUUUUGAGGACGAAAUCUCUGAUAAUAAACAUUUUGAAGAAGAUUUUGAUAAUUCUUAUAAUGAAUCUUUAGAGCAUAACGAUUGCUCUAUUGAUCUUGAUUUUAAAGAUUUGAGUGUUCUUUUUAAAACUUUUACUAAAAGAAAUAUAGAACCAAAUAUAUCAACCAAUGAAAAUGAACUGAAUCAAGACAAGCUACCUUCUCCAGUAGAAAAGCCAGUUAACAAUUCUUAUAAAAAUGUUAAAAAAAAAAGUCAGAAAGUUUUUAUAGAUGGUGAUAUUCCCACCAAAGUUGAUCUAGAUGUAUUCCGCGCAAUUAAAGAUGUUGUUAUAGAACCUCUGCAAUAUCCUAACAUCCACCACUGGAAAUCUUACAUUGAGUCUUACUCAGAUACUUCAAAAUUAAGUCUCCCUCGGAGAAAACAAGUCGUCCUGUGCCACCAAAUGACCAUGAGGGUACAUCCCUGAUACUUUUUCUAACUUAUAUGUUUCAAAUCAUUGAUAACCAGCUUAUUAUCCAUUACUAUUUGCUCCAGGUUCUUAUUCUUUCCAUUAGCUUUGAGUUCAAGAUGCAGUCAAACAUUUAAUAAUAAAUCAAGCAUUUUACAGCAAUGUAAAUGUUUUUAAGAAAUUAAGAGAAAUAACUUAUGAAAAACCUGUAGGAAAAAGAAGAGCUUUAAAGUUGAAAAGAGAUGAAACAGUUACAAACCUAAUAAUGUUGCAUUAUGGAAUCUGGAAGAAUCCUUGGUGCUGCGAUCAGCUGGCCAAGUCCUUGUUCACCGCGCUAUCA